GCCUUUGAUCAGCCCGUUUCAUCUCAUUCUCGACUUUUAAAUCAGAAUUAUUUUUUUUAUUUGUCAACAGAAGAAACGAGAGAGUUAGGUCUUAUUCGUUUCAUCUCUAUUCAGCCUCCAAAUUUUCUGAUUCUUUCCUCUAAACUUCAACUUUAUUCAGCCUCCAAAAUAAAGAUCCAGUUUCCUCCAACAUGAAACUUCCUCCAACCGUUCUCGCAUCCGACGAGGAUUCUCUUUCUUUCCUCCAACCGUUCAUUUGCCUUCGACAAGCAGCAAGAAACUUCAAGAUCUGUAAUAGAAGAUCUGCGUUCAGUUAAUCAAUCUCCAGGUUAGAGUGAUGAGCUAGUCAUGCAUCAUGGACACAACUUGAAAGGAAUAGGGCUAAUGAUAUGGGCUUAAAGACAAAUCAUCGAAGUCUUGGACGUUAGGGCUAAUGAUUUGGGUUUAAAGACAAAUUAGUUAUAGGGCCUAUUUAGACCCAAUUAAUAUCUUGUACUUUUUGAUUGUGUUUUUUAUUUAGGCCCAUCAAAACAAGAUUUAAUAUCAAAUUAUUGCAAAUUCUGAA